GUUUGGAAAGAAUUGGGUC
rnacentral:misc_RNA from 1 species